AAACUAAUAGAUGGAUAGCUUGGUUUGGACUGUUACGAAGGACGUGGCAAGCUGCGAUAAGCUUCGGCGAGGUGCAUGCGACCAUUGAACCGAAGAUCUCCGAAUGCGACAACGUUUCCUUAGGGAAAUGCAGAAAUGCAAAUGCACGCCGGGAAUUGAAACAUCUUAGUACCGGCAGGAAAAGAAAGAAAAUCGAUUCCCCCAUUAGUGGCGAACGAAAAGGGAAGAGGGCAAACUGAAUCUCCGUCGGAAACGGCGGCAGAGAUGUGGUGAGGGCUCAUGGCUAAGUCAAUGAAUUAAAGUUCUCUGGAAAGAGGCGCCUUAGAGGGUGAUAGCCCCGUGAAUUAAAUUGAUAUGCUGUGCCUCAAAAGAGUAGGGCCUCUUGGAUAAGAGGUCUGAAUAUGGGCGGAUUAACUCCCAACCCUAAACAUAAGUCCAAGUCCGAUAGCGAACUUAGUACCGCGAGGGAAAGCUGAAAAGUACUCUUAAAAGAGUGUGAAAAGACUUGAAAUCUAUUAGUAACAGCUAGUUACUGCUCUAAGGAGCUGUAACGUACGUUUGGAAAAAUGGGCCAAGGAGUUUAUUUAAGUGGCGAGGUUAAAAUGAAGCCGCAGCGAAAGCGAGUAUGAAAAUGCGUUAGUCACUUGAAUCAGACCCGAAGCUGGAUGAUCUAUUCGUGGGCAGGCCGAAGUUUUUCGAAAGGGAAAUGGAGGGCCGAACCAGUGUUGUGUGCAUGCACUUGGAUGACCUGCGAAUAGGGGUGAAAAGCCUAUCUAAUUCAGCGAUGGCUGGUUCCUGUCGAAAUAUGCCUUAGUAUAGUCUUGCCUAGUUUGUUAACGAGGUAAAGUACGGAUAGAAUUUGCAGGAUUGAAAGAUUACGGAAUUCAUUCCAACUCUGAACUUGUUAACUGCGUAAGGCAGGAAUGGGGAACAGUGCGUAAGGUACUGCUUCUAGACCCGAACAAGGGAGACUAAAGUUAAGGUCCCAAAAUGUAUGCUAAGUGUAACAAAAGGAGUCUUGAACCUGAGACAGUAGGGAUGUAGGCUUAGAAGCAGCCAUCAUUUAAAGAAAGCGUAAUAGCUCACCUAUCGAGGUUUGAGGCCCUGAAAAUGGACGGGGCUAAGCAUACUACCGAUACUUUAGAGGCGCUCAUUAGAGCGUUCUGGUAGGCAGGCGUCUUUUCUGCGCAGAAGCGUUUUCGAGAGAAAGCGUGGAGCGGGAAGGAACGAGAAUCUUGGCGUCAGUAAGAUCUGAUUACUCUGAGAACGAGUAGCGUCGCAAGAGCAAGGUUUCCUCGGCAAUAUCGUUUAACCGAGGGUUAGUCGGUGCCUAAGUCAUAUCUUAAUUGCGUAUGGCGAAUGGAAAUCCGGUUAAUAUUCCGGAACUUGAAAAUUCUUACGAGUGUAAAUUGCUUCUGGACAGGCAGGCACCCGAAAGGGUGUUGAGUCAUUGAAAUCUGUGGAUCGUAAUGAUAAGAAGCAGAUGAACGUGGCAAGGGAAAGCUGUUGAAUCCAGGGGUCCGUGAAAAGUUUAUGCUAUUGAAUAUCAAGCCGUACCUAGAUUUAACACUAAUGCUCUGGCUAAGUAGGCUAAGACGUGAAAGGCUAAACUGCUUAAGGGAACUCGGCAUAUUGGCCCUGUAUCUUCGGUAUAAGGGGUGUCUAUAGAUGUCUUUGAUAUUAGAAGGCGUUAGUAGAUCGCAGUGACAAGGACUGCCCGACUGUUUAUCAAAAACGUAGCUGGUUGCUAAUCUGAAAAGACUUGUAUAACCGGUGAGACCUGCCCAGUGGCGGGUUGUGAAACUUCGGUUCAACGGAGCUAAGCCCCGCUAAACGGCGGGCCUAUCUAUGAGGCUCUUAAGGUUGAACGGCAUACGAACUGCCUUACAUUUUAUCGUUGAUAAAAUGCUCCAACCUGACAGAUAGAAAGAUAAAUGGUUUCAAAAUAUGCAUGAGUUAAACCAAAAUAAGUGGAGAAAAUCGAGCUAUAUGCUGGAACAUCCGAGUAUAUUUUGAUACUUAGAAAUAAGUGAAAAUUCAAAAUUGCGGACAAUCAGCAGGAAAGACGGGAAUUAUUUAUUAAUCUAAAAGAGACAACAUAAUAGAAAGGUUUAAAUAGAAGUUUUAAAUUGAAAUUUUAUGAAACAAGCAGAAAGAAAAUUGUAUAAGGCUACUUACGCAUCUUCUAUAACGGAACCUGAUGAAGGAAGAUUAGUAAGAGAAGAUGGAUAUGUUGGCUCUUUAGAUAGUAAAAAAUAUGAAGCAAUUAGAAAAAUUUUAAGGGAAGCAACUGCACGAAUCACAAGAGCGACCAAAAAAGUGUAGAACUAAUUGUUGACUUAUCAGAAAAAGAAUAAUUUUCUUGUAUCCUCAGAGACUACACGCUCGACACAAUCAACAUAAAAGUUUAUAAGUGCUAAAAUUCAUAUAAUUAUAAUAAACUCCAUAGGAUCUGUAAAAAGGAUCCUAUGAUUUUUUAAUUACAUGAAAAAAGUUGCUAUUUAUAUUGAUGGAAGCAAUUUUUAUUUUUCUGUUAAAAAGAAAUUUAAUUGUAAAGUUGAUAUAAAGAAAUUCUGCGAAAAAUUGGCAAACAAUAAUAAAUUAGUAAAGAUAAACUAUUACAUUGCACCAAUUGAACAGCAGAUUAAUCCAAAAAUGUAUGCAGAACAACAAAGCUUUUUCUUUAAGUUAGAGAAAAUACCUAAGUUAAAAAUAGUUUUUGGAAGACUUGAAAAAAGAAAACAAGAUGGGAAAGAAUAUUUUGUUGAAAAAGCAACUGAUGUAAAUUUAGCACUUGAUAUUGUUUUAGAUGCGCAGG
rnacentral:rRNA from 1 species